CUCAUUCUCUUCUUUCUUCUUCUUCAGGACCCAAACCCGUGGGUAUUGUGCAUCAGUACAUAAGUCAUAUUUCGGAAGCUCGGAUCAGAAAACUUCCUUGAUCAAAGUUGUUCAUCUGCUCGAGUACUAUAGCCAGUAAAAUUUGCAGAAUUUUUUGAAUUUUUCUGAUACCUCAAAGCUGGUUUGCAACUUCUGAAUUCAUCCAUGGCUGGCUUGAUUGAGAGGUUCCAAAGCAUGAGGAAUGCCAUCUUCUUACUGAUUUGCUGGGAUCUUGAUAGAAUAAAGAUUUUUGGAAGAAGUAGACUGAAGAUGAGAAGGAAAAGGCUAAGCGAGUUGCUGGAAGAGAUUCAUACAGCUUGUUUUCCUCCAGAUAAGUAACAAACAGUUUGCUUUCCUCCAAGAGGAAA